ACUUGUAAUUUUCUCAAACGUUGUUAUUUAAAUCCAAAUUAUGUUCUACAUUUUCAAGUAAAAGAAAUGGCUUUAAUCAUUAACAACAAUAUCUCUCGGUAUAAACCAAUAUUGUUGGUAUUCUGUAAAUUGCUCGCUGUGUGUAGCUUUUCAUUUAUUUACACAAUUUCAUGUUGUUGAUCAAAUUCAUAUCGGGAAAAUGGACUUAUAAUGCCCGAUUGAAUUUGAUUUAAAGGGGGAAAACAAUCUAUAUCAUUUCUAAUCUUGGAGACACACAAAGGUCCUUUGAAGACUAUCAUGUCAUUUGAGAAUCAGAUUUUGAAAAGAAGAUUUUCUCAUUCCAUGCAAUAUAUUAUUCAAUUUCGUCAUUCUGACUCCAUUCAAUAUAUGAUACACAGCAGGUACAAUUCAGCAAAAAUAAACACGCAAGGAUUAGAAUUAAUCCUCCACUCGUAAAGAAUUAUUUACUAAUAGAUGACAUUACUAUAAGGGUGUCACAUUACUAUGAGACAUUUCUAGUGUCAAGGAAAGCCUUGAGAGAAUACAAAUUUAGGGGGUCUGUUUACUUCAGUUGAAUUUUAUAGCCACCAGGGGGGAUUGAUCUUCGUGUGCAGUCAUGACAAACCAUAAUGGUACAAAAUAACAAUAAGAUAUGAAACAAAUAUGGUACAAUUACAUUUUGUCUAUUGUGAGACCUCAUCUAUUGUGACAUGAAAUACCAUCUAUUGUGACAUGAGACAUCGUCAAUUGUGAAUCGGAACAUCACCUAAUGUGACACGAGACAUCGUCUAUUGUGACUCGGAACAUCACCUAAUGUGAUAGAGGACAUCGCGGUCUAAUGUGACACGGGAUGAGAAUUCUUUAGAUCUCCCUUCAAACCUGUAAUUUUCAUUUUGAAUUCCAAGCACUGGUAAGGGAAUAAUCGUUAUAUAUUUCAACCACUCAUAUUUGUUGCAGUUGGAACUUGAAUUCAAAGACCUUCCAUAAUUGAAGCAAGUGCUUUUCUGAUUACACAACUGUUGUGGUGGACCAGAGUUUACAUGCUUAAUAAAACAGGUGACGAUAAUAAACAUUGAUCAUUUUCAUAAUUCCUAUAAAGAAUACAGAAUUAAGAGGGCAAAUAUAGGAAAUGGGAUCAGGUGCCUAGGAGAAGUAAGCAUUACCUGUUGACCGGUCACACCCUCUGUGAGCACUCUGUUUUGAUCAGGUAAAUGGAGUAAUCCAUAGUAAAAAUCAUUAUGAAAAGAACAGCGUAACACGCAAAACAGCACACCACCCAAAGACUGUUUGUUAUUCCAAAUAAGAUUGUAAUGGCCAAUAUAUACAGCUGAAUGUAACGAGUCAUAUUCCUUGGUAUUAAGAGGAUCUCCUAUUCGGUUGUCUCAAUGAACUUAAUCAUCAACCCUAUAAAUUUAAUAUUUCUCUGUUUAAAAAUCUUAUACUUUUGGGCUAGUAACCAUUUAUCAUGUUUUGUUCCAAUACAACCCUGACCUUUGGCCUAACAAACCUUUUAAAAAAUUUGAAUAUAUCAUCCUUUGGUUAUCACUCUUACAGGUGUGAAUCAUAAUAUGCCUCAACCAAACGAUAAUGUAACUUAUAGAGAAGAAACCAUUACUGUUCACAGACAGAUGGGCAGACAUGCUGAAAUACCCUCAAUUUUGCUGAGCCUGGCUGCACCCAGACAUAGAAACUUUAGACCAUCACACUUGAGGACAAGUUGAAAGUCGUGAUACCAUGCAGAUGGACAAACACUAGACACAGUGAUGCUUUAUACAACUUACAACCCACUGAAUAAAAUAAAACUGCUGUCAAA